GAUGAACGCUGGCGGCGUGCCUAAUAUAUGCAAGUCGAGCGAACAGACGAGGAGCUUGCUCCUUCGACGUUAGCGGCGGACGGGUGAGUAACACGUAGGUAACCUACCUAUAAGACUGGGAUAACUUCGGGAAACCGGAGCUAAUACCGGAUAAUAUUUCGAACCGCAUGGUUCGAUAGUGAAAGAUGGCUUUGCUAUCACUUAUAGAUGGACCUGCGCCGUAUUAGCUAGUUGGUAAGGUAACGGCUUACCAAGGCAACGAUACGUAGCCGACCUGAGAGGGUGAUCGGCCACACUGGAACUGAGACACGGUCCAGACUCCUACGGGAGGCAGCAGUAGGGAAUCUUCCGCAAUGGGCGAAAGCCUGACGGAGCAACGCCGCGUGAGUGAUGAAGGUCUUCGGAUCGUAAAACUCUGUUAUUAGGGAAGAACAAACGUGUAAGUAACUGUGCACGUCUUGACGGUACCUAAUCAGAAAGCCACGGCUAACUACGUG
rnacentral:rRNA from 1 species